rnacentral:rRNA from 1 species
AUUGAACGCUGGCGGCGUGCCUAACACAUGCAAGUCGAGCGGCGGCGUUUGCUUAGCUGCUUACUUUGGACAGGAAUCGGACUGAGCGGCAGACGGGGUAAUAACAUUGCGGGGAACCUGCCUAUACAGGGGGAAAACACUUAGACUUGACUGCUCAUCCCGCAGAGGACCACAGGGCCGCAAGGUGUUCUUGGUAAAAACUCCGGUGGCAUGUGAUAGAACCUAGUUUUGAGUAGAUAUGUGGCAAGGUAACGACUUUUCCCUGGCGACGAUGAGUAGACGACCUGACUCGCUGACCGGCCAACACGGGACAGACUCCUCGGCCCAGACUCCAAUGGGAAAUAUUCAUUGGGGAGUAUUAUCCCUUGGGCGAAACCCUGCUGCGGGUGACGCCGCAGUUCGGAUAAAUAUUUCUUUUUGUAAAGAUGUAUCGUUGGGGAAUAAUUUGAGU